rnacentral:rRNA from 1 species
GAUGAACGCUGGCGGCGUGCCUAAUACAUGCAAGUCGAGCGAACGGACGAGAAGCUUGCUUCUCUGAUGUUAGCGGCGGACGGGUGAGUAACACGUGGAUAACCUACCUAUAAGACUGGGAUAACUUCGGGAAACCGGAGCUAAUACCGGAUAAUAUUUUGAACCGCAUGGUUCAAAAGUGAAAGACGGUCUUGCUGUCACUUAUAGAUGGAUCCGCGCUGCAUUAGCUAGUUGGUAAGGUAACGGCUUACCAAGGCAACGAUGCAUAGCCGACCUGAGAGGGUGAUCGGCCACACUGGAACUGAGACACGGUCCAGACUCCUACGGGAGGCGGCAGUAGGGAAUCUUCCGCAAAGGGCGAAAGCCUGACGGAGCAACGCCGCGUGAGUGAUGAAGGUCUUCGGAUCGUAAAACUCUGUUAUUAGGGAAGAACAUAUGUGUAAGUAACUGUGCACAUCUUGACGGUACCUAAUCAGAAAGCCACGGCUAACUACGUG